rnacentral:sRNA from 1 species
CCCUAGCCCUGAUGGCAAUGGAAAUCCUUGUGAAGCCGGGUUUCGGCGAACAAGAUUGUAAUGAACAGCAGGAAAUAGC